CUAUGAAUGCCGUGAGUGUGAGAACCUUCAAUCGCAGCUCAAACCUUGUUACUCAUCAGAGAACCACACAGGGGAGAGGCCCUAUGAAUGCUAAACAAGGACUUUCAGGCUGUGGAAAUGAUGGUAACCAAUGAGGCAAGGAACGUGUCCGGUUCCAAUUUCAGACUUCCAGAUACUCGCAUGUUGAGUCCUGAUUCUCUGGUUUUGUGUCUGAUGCUCCGGCUUCACAAUAAAGCUGAUGUUGGCACAGCUGCCCCAAUGUAGCUGCACUGGUGUAGCAUGCUAUUACAGAUGCUCUAAGCCAAUGGGAGAGAUCUCUCCCGUCGGACUUCAUUAGUCCAGCCCCCUCAAGCUAUAUGUCCUGCUGACGUAGCGCUAUCUACACAGGGCGUUAGGGCUGUGUAACUACAUUGCUCAACUCUGGAUUUUUCACACCCCUGAGCAAUAUAGUUAUACCGAUAAAUGCCUUUAGUGUAGGACAGUUUUCUCUUGUGUUUUAUGCAUUUACAUCCCUUCUCCUCUACCUCCUCCUACUUUGAAAGAUUAAAAAGUGUGAAAAGAGA